CCUUAGUAUUCACUUGGGUGUUCCUUUUAUUCAAAGCAAGUCCUCUGAUCUGACUUUGUUCUUCAUUUGGGUGGCCUACUGAUCUCUUCAUCCCUUAGUAUUCACAUUUUGUUGAUCUCUCUUCAUUUUUUCACUAAUUUGCACAUCAUUCAAGCUAUGGCUGUAGCAGAAGAAUGGGAACUGUAGGAGCACAUCAUUUAAGCUAUGGCUGAAGUCCUGCAAUUCGCUGAAAUAGUAGCCAAGGGGUGAUAUAUCAGGUGCUUCUUUUCACUGGAUGAUAUUCCUGGCAAGCACUCUGUGGAUAUAGGGUUUUUGCCCACAAAAGAUAACUUGAGGAGAAGGGAAAUGGACAGAGAAGUGCAAGCUAUUAUGAGAAGAGGGAGAUGACCUCUUUUCUAAACUGAAAACACAAAUACUAGC